rnacentral:misc_RNA from 1 species
UUUCCGUAGGUGAACCUGCGGAAGGAUCAUUAAAAAAUGUGGUACCAAUUAUUGGUACUAAUUAAUCAUCCUACCCUUUGUGAAUUUGUUUGUAUGAAUUUUUUUAAAUGGGUCUUUCCCUAAGUUGGAUUGUUAGUAAAAUACAAAAAGACUUAGGGGAAUGACUUUUUUAAAAGACUUUUUUUUAAUUAAAACUUUUUGUAUUCAUUUGUCUAAAAUUUAUUUUUAUAAUAUAAAAACAACUUUUGACAAUGGAUCUCUUGGUUCUCGCAACGAUGAAGAACGCAGCAAAAUGCGAUAAGUAGUGUGAAUUGCAGAAUACGUGAAUCAUCGAAUCUUCGAACGCAUAUUGCACUUUUUUAGUUUACUAAAAAAGUAUGUCUGUUUGAGUAUCAGUAAAAUAUUCUCACAAACAUGUAUUUUUGUGGUUAUGAGUGUUUUACAACGAUAAACAAGUUGUUUCACUUUAAAUUCUUUUUAAUUGAAUUUUACCAAUUCAUAAAUUAAAAUUGGAUAAAAUUUUCCUUUAACGAGGAAUAACCUAAACAAUUUUAAAUUUUAUGGAUUAAUACAUUCAACAAAGGAAUCUAUACAACAAAUAACUUGAUCUCAAAUCAGAUAAGAGUACCCGCUGAACUUAAGCAUAUCAAUAAGCGGAGGAAAAGAAACUAACAAGGAUUCCCUUAGUAACGGCGAGUGAAGCGGGAAGAGCUCAAAUUUGAAAUCUUCAAGGUUUGACCUUGACGAAUUGUAGUUUAUAGAAGUGUUUUCUGUUGGAGUUUUGGUAAAAGUUCUUUGGAAUAGGACAUCAUAGAGGGUGAGAAUCCGUAUUUGACCAUGACUUUCCAGCUGUGUGAUACACUUUCAAAGAGUCGGAUUGUUUGGGAAUGCAGUCCAAAAUGGGUGGUAAAUUUCAUCUAAAGCUAAAUAUUGGCGAGAGACCGAUAGCGAACAAGUACCGUGAGGGAAAGAUGAAAAGAACUUUGAAAAGAGAGUUAAACAGUACGUGAAAUUGUCAAAAGGGAAGCGUUUGACACCAGUGUUGUUUUCUCGAAAAUCAAUUUAAUGAGUUCUUGUUUUUAAGUUAUUGUGACUUUAUCAGCGCAUUUCUUAUUUUACUUGACUCAUUGAAUGCACUUUUCGUUUAACAAGUCAACAUCAAUUUCUUUGGUGGUAAAAAGUUUAAAGGAAGGUGGCUUGGACUUCGAUUCAAGUGUUUAUAGCCUUUUUUCUAUGCCAUCGGAGAGAUUGAGGUCUGCAGCGUAGAUCCUUCGGGUUAGAUACCUUUGUGCUAAGUUAUAGUUUUUUAUAGACAACUUGUUGACUAUAAUUAACCCUGUAAUUUACUCGCUUAGGCUAUUUUACCUACGCUUAGGAUGUUGAG